AGAGUUUGAUCAUGGCUCAGAAUGAACGCUGGCGGCGUGCUUAACACAUGCAAGUCGAACGAGAAACCCCGGCUUGCCGGGGGAGUAAAGUGGCGCACGGGUGAGUAACGCGUGGGUAAUCUACCCUCGAAUUGGGGAUAACCCGCCGAAAGGCGGGCUAAUACCGGAUAAGACCACGGUGGCUUCGGCCACUGAGGUCAAAGAUGGCCUCUGCCUGCAAGCUGUCGUUUGAGGAUGAGCCCGCGUCCCAUUAGCUAGUUGGUGGGGUAAAAGCCUACCAAGGCGACGAUGGGUAGCUGGUCUGAGAGGAUGGCCAGCCACACUGGAACUGACACACGGUCCAGACUCCUACGGGAGGCAGCAGUGAGGAAUUUUGCGCAAUGGGGGAAACCCUGACGCAGCAACGCCGCGUGAGUGAUGAAGGCCUUCGGGUUGUAAAGCUCUGUCGAGUGGGAAGAAUUUUUUUCGGCUGAAUAAUCCGAGAAAUUGACGGUACCGCUGAAGGAAGCACCGGCUAACUCCGUGCCAGCAGCCGCGGUAAUACGGAGGGUGCAAGCGUUAUUCGGAUUUAUUGGGCGUAAAGGGCGUGUAGGCGGUUUGAAAAGUCAGGUGUGAAAGCCCUUGGCUUAACCAAGGAAGUGCAUUUGAAACUUUCAGACUUGAGUACGGAGGGGGAAGUGGAAUUCCUGGUGUAGAGGUGAAAUUCCCAGAUAUCAGGAGGAAUACCGGUGGCGAA
rnacentral:rRNA from 1 species